rnacentral:rRNA from 1 species
UACGUAGGGUGCAAGCGUUGUCCGGAAUUAUUGGGCGUAAAGGGUGCGUAGGCGGUCUGACAAGUCUGAUGUGAAAUCUAUGGGCUCAACCCAUAGUCUGCAUCGGAAACUGUCGGGCUUGAGUGAGGAAGAGGGUUGUGGAAUUCCCAGUGUAGAGGUGAAAUUCGUAGAUAUUGGGAAGAACACCGGUGGCGAAGGCGGCAACCUGGUCCUUUACUGACGCUGAGGCGCGAAAGCGUGGGGAGCAAACAGG